UACGUAGGGGCUAGCGUUAUCCGGAUUUACUGGGCGUAAAGCGCGUGUAGGUGGUUCUGUAAGUAGGGCGUAGAAAGCUCCCGGCUCAACUGGGAGAGGCCGUUCUAAACUGCAGAGCUAGAGGAUGGUAGAGGGAGGUGGAAUUCCAGGUGUAAGCGGUGGAAUGCGCAGAUAUCUGGAGGAACACCAGUGGCGAAGGCGGCCUCCUGGACCAUUCCUGACACUCAGACGCGAAAGCUAGGGUAGCAAACGGGAUUAGAUACCCCCGUAGUCCCU
rnacentral:rRNA from 1 species